GUCUGCGAGUGCGAGUGUGAUGUCGACGAUGAGAUAUCACUUACCUUUGAUCGUCGUCUUCCUUUGACGACAUUUCUUCUUCUUCACCGUCUUCGCCGGUGAAGAUCUCGAGCAACAACUCUUGAAAUCGCGAGUGUUUCCAAAAACUCGAAAUCAGCCAAUUUGCUGCUUCAGUCAAACCCUUCUUUAGCGACUCCUCGAGAAGUUCAAUCUGUUUGUCUUCAUCUUCGGAGGGUUCCAAUCCUUGUAUUCUUAAUGGAUGAGGUAAUUUCUAUGAACGACCAAUCUUUCUGG